rnacentral:rRNA from 1 species
GUGGGGAAUAUUGGACAAUGGGGGGAACCCUGAUCCAGCCAUGCCGCGUGUGUGAAGAAGGCCUUUUGGUUGUAAAGCACUUUAAGCGAGGAGGAGGCUACCGAGAUUAAUACUCUUGGAUAGUGGACGUUACUCGCAGAAUAAGCACCGGCUAACUCUGUGCCAGCAGCCGCGGUAAUACAGAGGGUGCAAGCGUUAAUCGGAUUUACUGGGCGUAAAGCGCGCGUAGGUGGCCAAUUAAGUCAAAUGUGAAAUCCCCGAGCUUAACUUGGGAAUUGCAUUCGAUACUGGUUGGCUAGAGUAUUGGAGAGGAUGGUAGAAUUCCAGGUGUAGCGGUGAAAUGCGUAGAGAUCUGGAGGAAUACCGAUGGCGAAGGCAGCCAUCUGGCCUAAUACUGACACUGAGGUGCGAAAGCAUGGGGAGCAAACAGGAUUAGAAACCCUUGUAGUCC